rnacentral:tRNA from 1 species
GGAAUUGUAGCUCAGUGGUUGAGCACUUUUCUGCCACAUAUGAGGCACUGGGUUUGAUUCUCAGCACCG